rnacentral:rRNA from 1 species
ACGCUCGACACCUACGGGAAGCAGCAGUGGGGAAUAUUGCACAAUGGGGGAAACCCUGAUGCAGCGACGCCGCGUGGAGGAAGAAGGUCUUCGGAUUGUAAACUCCUGUUGUUGGGGAAAAAGAGGAUGGUACCCAACAAGGAAGUGACGGCUAACUACGUACCAGCAGCCGCGGUAAUCUGAGCGGGCUGGCAAGGC